UCUAGCAUCGGCUUAUCUCCCUCCACGUAUGCUUUAUUUACAAUUGCAACAAUUACCGUCUUAUCCUUCGUUGCAGCUCCCGCUAAUGCUUCUUCUAGCUUAUCUCCAUAUAUUUUCAUCAUGUUAAAUGUUUUUGAAGGUUGACAAACGGAGUUUCGCAUAGGAAAUAAAGCGAAAUUACUGCUGUAAUUACCGGAAGAGCUCAAGAGGAGCUGGAAUACAUAUACAAAAGAAAAUCAAUUGAGAACUGAAAAUCAGAAUCAACAAAAAAAUAAUUAAAGAAUAAGCAUGAUUACUUACUGUUUUUGAAGGUUGACAAACGGAGUUUUGCAUAGGAAAUAAAGCGAAAUUACUGCUGUAAUUACCGGAAGAGCUCAAGAGGAGAAUAGAUAAUAAAACUAAAGUUAGAAGUGUAUACACAAUAUAAUGAUAGUAUUCAGUAAUGAGAUUUUUGAAAUCCAUAUUCUUGAUAUCAAUAGGCACUAUAGUUUUUCUCAAAGAGAUUCUUGAGACAGUAGAGCUUCGUGCUGAUAACGUGUUAUAAAUAAUAAAAGAACACAUAGGCACUAUAGUUUUGAGGAAGAGGAAAUUCGUUCGUAAAAUUGUUGCAGUGUUAAAAGGGGAUGACUAGUUGUGUGACUGUUCUAAACUCCAACUACAAUUCUACUUGCUUACCAUUGGUUUUGUACUUCUUUUUGGUUUGUUCAACUACUUAAACUAGUCGGGUAUCAUA
rnacentral:lncRNA from 1 species